rnacentral:lncRNA from 1 species
CAGGCUGUAGCUGUACAGGAGUGAAAAACAGGGAGUGCCGUUGCAUGGCGCGAUGUCCAAACCUGGUUAAAACGGCCUAACCGCCGGGAAGUCCCUAAGAAGGGUGGGAGCUUUCAGACGCCGGUUUUCCAUCCUAAACAUUGUUGGAUAAAAGACCAUUCAAAUCGCGAGCUUCCUUGAAAUUUGAUGAGGGCAAAAUGCUUUGGUACUGCUUGUGUAAUGCGUUUCCCGUGUGGAACGACGGAUUCGUUGACCCGUGGGACCUGUACGGCAGAUUUGGCGAUGGCGGCUAGCGCAUGACGAGAUGUGCGUCUUCUUUUUCGGCAAAUGUUGCAUUUCAAAAGCAUAGCUGUUCUUGGAAAAGAGCAAGAGCGGAACAAGCACUGACGAAACCGGAGGAAAUGAAGAUUACCGGGUUGACUUGUGCUCACUGUCAACAAGGCCAUCACACUGUUAUUUUCUUAAGCUAUAUACGGCCAUGUGCUUAUUCUGAUGUUUAUUGGGCUUGCUGCAAGAAAGGAUAGGAUGGCGGGGCAUCCCUUGGCGAUGUCCACCCGGAGGCAUCCGUGUGGAGGCGAAUCGGCUUAAAAUGUAAGGAAGUAUUGAUAUUUUCUUAAGGCCACAGGUUUUUGCGGUUGGAUACGCAUGCUUCCACCUGUGCCGCUCCGCUAAAAGGUGAGAUGCAGGUAGCGGGAACGCGUUAUAGCUUACUGGUCCCCGGACACCGUUUUAAUUCCUGCCUACAAUGUACUCCGAUGAUCCUAGCAUGAUAUAGGGCUGACAACACUCAUGGGAAGAAUCACCCGUGGUUUAGGCAGGGAAUGUAGGCAGCCGAAGCUUUUUAAUUAUUUGGCCUUUCCUGUUCAUGGAAACAUGCGUCGUAAUGUUAGACACCGUGCAGACUUCAACUGGUAAUUGUUCAAGGAUUAGCCAGGGGCACAUAUGUUAUCGUCCUGGUUAGGCAACAUUACAACGCUGCGCAGUGCAAGUCCCCCCAUUUACGGAGUGCUGAAGCAAUUAUUUUGGUUGUAAAAUAAUUUGAAUUUUUACGGGAAGGCGUUUUCUUGCUUCUCCUUUUUUGCAGCAGGACAGAGUUUUUGCCGAUGGUGGACAGGAGCAGGACAAGGUGCCUUCAGCUGGCAUUAAUAAAAACGGCCCGCUCUCCGCUGGCAUCAUUCGAUGGUCGUUUUUGCCGCUGCGGUCUCCAUCCUUGCAAAGAGUGCGACCUCAUACCGAGGUGCGGAGGUGCGCCAUACACCAAUUUGCGUACUCCAACCACCGCCUACCGUGGUGCGUUUCAAGUAAUGUUUUCAUUUAUCGUAUGUGAGUCAGCUUAAAAGUAGAACGGCGUGACAGGUGCCCCCCCCUCUCCGGUUAGCAAUGCCGGACUGACUGCAGGAUUGAGGGCCCUGACUGUGGCUGAGAUGUAUUUUAUUUCCAGGGUUAGAUGCUGUUGCAUAAAGCUAUGUUCGUUUAGCUGCGAACAAUUUGGGAUCUGCUAUCCGCGCGCACUUGAGAUUUGCGUCGGCACUGCAACUCGUACGCGGACGUCCGCACAUCCAGAUGUCUUAUUUCCUGAUUACGGAAAGGGCUUUUUCAAUUUACG